CCUACGGGAGGCUGCAGUGGGGAAUAUUGGACAAUGGGGGCAACCCUGAUCCAGCCAUGCCGCGUGUGUGAAGAAGGCCCUCGGGUUGUAAAGCACUUUCAGUGAGGAAGAACGCCUGGUGGUUAAUACCCAUCAGGAAAGACAUCACUCACAGAAGAAGCACCGGCUAACUCCGUGCCAGCAGCCGCGGUAAUACGGAGGGUGCGAGCGUUAAUCGGAAUUACUGGGCGUAAAGCGCGCGUAGGUGGCUUGAUAAGCCGGUUGUGAAAGCCCCGGGCUCAACCUGGGAACGGCAUCCGGAACUGGCAAGCUAGAGUGCAGGAGAGGAAGGUAGAAUUCCCGGUGUAGCGGUGAAAUGCGUAGAGAUCGGGAGGAAUACCAGUGGCGAAGGCGGCCUUCUGGACUGACACUGACACUGAGGUGCGAAAGCGUGGGUAGCAAACAGGAUUAGAUACCCUUGUAGUC
rnacentral:rRNA from 1 species